UACGAAGGGGGCUAGCGUUGUUCGGAAUUACUGGGCGUAAAGCGCACGUAGGCGGGUUCUUAAGUCGGUGGUGAAAUCCUGGAGCUCAACUCCAGAACUGCCUUUGAUACUGGGAGGCUCGAGUCCGGGAGAGGUGAGUGGAACUGCGAGUGUAGAGGUGAAAUUCGUAGAUAUUCGCAAGAACACCAGUGGCGAAGGCGGCUCACUGGCCCGGUACUGACGCUGAGGUGCGAAAGCGUGGGGAGCAAACAGG
rnacentral:rRNA from 1 species